CAACACUUCACUGAACAAGUGUCACAGGAUACUUGAAAUUUCCUGGAAUUGAGUCAUCCCAUACAAUUUCAAAUAUUUUAAGUGCUAAAUGAAAGAAAAACUCCAAUUUCUUUGUUAUAGUUCUGUCACACUUCUUUGGGAACAAUAGAUGAAGAAAGACAAUCUGACAGUGUUAGGUGUGGGGGAGGAAGUUGAAUCAAAGGCUAGGAGGGUUCAUUGGUGAGGCAACAGGCUCAUCCCAAGACUCACUUUCCUCUGUUGAGGGCCCAGGGCUUGCCUCCUGCACUCUGGAGUGGCCCCUAUCUUACACAGAUGCUGCUUUGGGGCAGGCAUCAUUGAUGCAUGUUAUUUUAUUUUCUUAAUGCUCCUUUGAGACUUUUUGGAUAUUUCUGUUUUCUUUUUCUUCCUUCUUUUUUAAAAUUUUAGAGACAGGGUCUCCCUAAGUAGUUCAGGCUGGCCUCGGACUCUCAGAGAUCCUCCUUCUUUCGCCUCCUGAGUGCUGGGGUUACAAGUGUGGACCACCACCCCUACCUUCCCUUUUGGAUAUUCUUUAAAUAAAACUUUGUCUUAUUUAGUCUGAAUUCAUCCAAUAAUAUUAUAAAAGAAAUUUUAAAUAUCCCCAGCGGGAAACACAUGUUUGAUGAGGACUCUGUCCAUGUAUCUAACACAUGUAAAAUACUUGUUCUUCUAGCUCAUAAUACAGGAUUCUGAUAUUAAAGCAGGUGAAACAAUAAGAUACAUAAGAUAUGUGUCAAGAUUAAAUCCAUCCGAGAGUGAUGGCCUGAAAACCAACAGCUUUAACAAACUGGAUGAAAAGGAAGCAGCUUUGAGAGCAGGGAAAAGGAAAAAUCCAAACAGAACCUUCCAUGUAACUGGCUCAUACAAUCCAGGCAGCACAGAGCACACCUGUGAGUGAGAGAAAACGAGGUCUUUGUGGGCUUUGAAAAAUAAACCGCUCAAGGGCGUUUUAGUACAAGACCAGUUCAGAAAGAAAGCAUAAAUGCCCAGGAAAGGAUUUUUUCAUUCCAAG
rnacentral:lncRNA from 1 species